rnacentral:rRNA from 1 species
UCGCCCUUAGAGUUUGAUCCUGGCUCAGGACGAACGCUGGCGGCGUGCCUAAUACAUGCAAGUAGAACGCUGAAGAGAGGAGCUUGCUCUUCUUGGAUGAGUUGCGAACGGGUGAGUAACGCGUAGGUAACCUGCCUUGUAGCGGGGGAUAACUAUUGGAAACGAUAGCUAAUACCGCAUAACAAUGGAUGACACAUGUCAUUUAUUUGAAAGGGGCAAUUGCUCCACUACAAGAUGGACCUGCGUUGUAUUAGCUAGUAGGUGAGGUAACGGCUCACCUAGGCGACGAUAUAUAGCCGACCUGAGAGGGUGAUCGGCCACACUGGGACUGAGACUCGGCCCAGACUCCUACGGGAGGCAGCAGUAGGGAAUCUUCGGCAAUGGGGGCAACCCUGACCGAGCAACGCCGCGUGAGUGAAGAAGGUUUUCGGAUCGUAAAGCUCUGUUGUAAGUCAAGAACGAGUGUGAGAGUGGAAAGUUCACACUGUGACGGUAGCUUACCAGAAAGGGACGGCUAACUACGUGCCAGCAGCCGCGGUAAUACGUAGGUCCCGAGCGUUGUCCGGAUUUAUUGGGCGUAAAGCGAGCGCAGGCGGUUUGAUAAGUCUGAAGUUAAAGGCUGUGGCUCAACCAUAGUUCGCUUUGGAAACUGUCAAACUUGAGUGCAGAAGGGGAGAGUGGAAUUCCAUGUGUAGCGGUGAAAUGCGUAGAUAUAUGGAGGAACACCGGUGGCGAAAGCGGCUCUCUGGUCUGUAACUGACGCUGAGGCUCGAAAGCGUGGGGAGCGAACAGGAUUAGAUACCCUGGUAGUCCACGCCGUAAACGAUGAGUGCUAGGUGUUGGAUCCUUUCCGGGAUUCAGUGCCGCAGCUAACGCAUUAAGCACUCCGCCUGGGGAGUACGACCGCAAGGUUGAAACUCAAAUGAAUUGACGGAAGGGCG